rnacentral:lncRNA from 1 species
UAAACUGAAUUUUCCCUUUCAGUCAGCAUUAGGGUUUUAAACCCUAAACUGAACUCGUUCCCUUUAGUCAGCAUUAGGGUUUUAAAUCCUAAACUGAACUUUUUUCCUUUAGUCAGCAUUAGGGUUUUAAACCCUAAACUGAACUUUUUUCCAUUCAGCCAGCAUUAUGGUUUUAAACCCUAAACUGAGCUUUUCCAUGCAAUCAGCAUUAGGGUUUUAAACCCUGAACUGAAUUUUUCCUUUAGUCAGCAUUAGGGUUUUAAACCCUAAACUGAACUUUUUUCCAUUCAGCCAGCAUUAGGGUUUUAAAUCCUAAACUGAGCUUUUC